rnacentral:rRNA from 1 species
UCGGGCCUCAUGCCAUCAGAUGUGCCCAGAUGGGAUUAGCUAGUAGGUGGGGUAACGGCUCACCUAGGCGACGUCCCUAGCUGGUCUGAGAGGAUGACCAGCCACAUGGAACUGAGACACGGUCCAGACUCCUACGGGAGGCAGCAGUGGGGAAUAUUGCACAAUGGGCGCAAGCCUGAUGCAGCCAUGCCGCGUGUGUGAAGAAGGCCUUCGGGUUGUAAAGCACUUUCAGCGGGGAGGAAGGCGUUAAGGUUAAUAACCUUGGGGAUUGACGUUACCCGCAGAAGAAGCACCGGCUAACUCCGUGCCAGCAGCCGCGGUAAUACGGAGGGUGCAAGCGUUAAUCGGAAUUACUGGGCGUAAAGCGCACGCAGGCGGUCUGUCAAGUCGGAUGUGAAAUCCCCGGGCUCAACCUGGGAACUGCAUUCGAAACUGGCAGGCUAGAGUCUUGUAGAGGGGGGUAGAAUUCCAGGUGUAGCGGUGAAAUGCGUAGAGAUCUGGAGGAAUACCGGUGGCGAAGGCGGCCCCCU